CUGGUGAAUUCUUGAAAUGCGAUUCUCUUCUACAAGUAAACUAUCAUCAAUAUUCAAUAUAUAAAGAUAAUCGCAUUAUACAGGCCAAAUCCUUAGCAGCCUAAAUAAUGCUUAUUAACAAGUACUAUGCACACUAUUACAUUCAAUUAAUUAAGCUAAAAAGCUGAUUAUAAUUAAUAUCAAGUUCCACAGGAUCUCAAUCCUUCUUCAGUGCUUCUGGACCAGUAGUCGUAAGUUUGUUAACUAAAGCUAAUGCAUUGCUCGUCAUGUAACUUACAUUUGAAACACGAUUCAGUAUGCUUUUAACGACUUUUCCUUUUUGUCGAUCAAAUCCAUCCGAACAUGUAUCUUCAUCGGUAAGAGCAGCACUUAACCAUGUUGUAACAUCCCCCAUUUGGGAGUCGAAUUCCUGAAAAUUUAGCUUUCUAAGCACGUCGAGAGAUCUAUGAAGAUUUUCAAUUGUAUUUUGAAAAGACUCAAUGCAAUCCAAAAGUGCGAUUUUAUUUCUUCCUUCUACGAUCAUAUCACUUCUAUGUAUCAUCAAGUAUUUACUCACUUUUUUUGCUUCUCCUAUGGUGACGGAGACUCCGGCCC
rnacentral:lncRNA from 1 species